CAAUUUGUCAACAGGAUGUGUUCGCACUGCUUGUUCCCAGUUUGUUAACAAGUUGUCAACAUCUUGUUGACAACUUGCUACAAGGUUGUCAAACUCAACAAACUUGUUACAAGUUGUUCCAACAGCAAUAGAACAAUUUGUCAACAAGUUGUGAGUGACAAGCUUGUAGCAACUUGAUAAAAUAACAGAAUUUUUACAACUUGUUGACAAGCUUGCUACAAGUCUGUUGCGAACACAUCUUGUUGACAAGUUG
rnacentral:miRNA from 1 species